AGAAUCAACGCUGGCGGCGUGCCUAACACAUGCAAGUCGAACGAGAAAGUGGAGCAAUCCAUGAGUAAAGUGGCGACCGGGUGAGUAACACGUGACUACCUACCCUUGAGUGGGGGAUAACCUCGGGAAACCGAGGCUAAUACCGCAUAAUAUCGAAAGAUCAAAGGAGUAAUCCGCUUUUGGAGGGGGUCGCGGCUGAUUAGCUAGUUGGUAGGGUAAUGGCCUACCAAGGCGAAGACCGGUAU
rnacentral:rRNA from 1 species